rnacentral:rRNA from 1 species
UACAGAGGGUGCAAGCGUUGUUCGGAAUUAUUGGGCGUAAAGCGCGUGUAGGCGGCCAGGCAAGUUGGGUGUGAAAGCCCUCGGCUUAACCGAGGAAGUGCGCCCAAAACUACUUGGCUUGAGUACCGGAGAGGAUGGUGGAAUUCCCGGUGUAGAGGUGAAAUUCGUAGAUAUCGGGAGGAACACCAGCGGCGAAGGCGACCAUCUGGGCGGAUACUGACGCUGAGACGCGAAAGCGUGGGGAGCAAACAGG